rnacentral:rRNA from 1 species
CAGCAGCCACGGUAAUACGUAGGGUGCAAGCGUUAAUCGGAAUUACUGGGCGUAAAGCGUGCGCAGGCGGUUAUAUAAGACAGAUGUGAAAUCCCCGGGCUCAACCUGGGAACUGCAUUUGUGACAGUAUAGCUAGAGUACGGCAGAGGGGGAUGGAAUUCCGCGUGUAGCAGUGAAAUGCGUAGAUAUGCGGAGGAACACCGAUGGCGAAGGCAAUCCCCUGGGCCUGUACUGACGCUCAUGCACGAAAGCGUGGGGAGCAAACAGGAUUAGAUACCCCCGUAGUCCCUGUCUCUUAUAC